rnacentral:rRNA from 1 species
CUCCAAGGCUAAAUACUCCUGACUGACCGAUAGUGAACCAGUACCGUGAGGGAAAGGCGAAAAGAACCCCGGCGAGGGGAGUGAAAAAGAACCUGAAACCGUGUACGUACAAGCAGUGGGAGCACGCUUAGGCGUGUGACUGCGUACCUUUUGUAUAAUGGGUCAGCGACUUAUAUUCUGUAGCAAGGUUAACCGAAUAGGGGAGCCGAAGGGAAACCGAGUCUUAACUGGGCGUUAAGUUGCAGGGUAUAGACCCGAAACCCGGUGAUCUAGCCAUGGGCAGGUUGAAGGUUGGGUAACACUAACUGGAGGACCGAACCGACUAAUGUUGAAAAAUUAGCGGAUGACUUGUGGCUGGGGGUGAAAGGCCAAUCAAACCGGGAGAUAGCUGGUUCUCCCCGAAAGCUAUUUAGGUAGCGCCUCGUGAAUUCAUCUCCGGGGGUAGAGCACUGUUUCGGCAAGGGGGUCAUCCCGACUUACCAACCCGAUGCAAACUGCGAAUACCGGAGAAUGUUAUCACGGGAGACACACGGCGGGUGCUAACGUCCGUCGUGAAGAGGGAAACAACCCAGACCGCCAGCUAAGGUCCCAAAGUCAUGGUUAAGUGGGAAACGAUGUGGGAAGGCCCAGACAGCCAGGAUGUUGGCUUAGAAGCAGCCAUCAUUUAAAGAAAGCGUAAUAGCUCACUGGUCGAGUCGGCCUGCGCGGAAGAUGUAACGGGGCUAAACCAUGCACCGAAGCUGCGGCAGCGACGCUGAUGCGUUGUUGGGUAGGGGAGCGUUCUGUAAGCCUGUGAAGGUGUGCUGUGAGGCAUGCUGGAGGUAUCAGAAGUGCGAAUGCUGACAUAAGUAACGAUAAAGCGGGUGAAAAGCCCGCUCGCCGGAAGACCAAGGGUUCCUGUCCAACGUUAAUCGGGGCAGGGUGAGUCGACCCCUAAGGCGAGGCCGAAAGGCGUAGUCGAUGGGAAACAGGUUAAUAUUCCUGUACUUGGUGUUACUGCGAAGGGGGGACGGAGAAGGCUAUGUUGGCCGGGCGACGGUUGUCCCGGUUUAAGCGUGUAGGCUGGUUUUCCAGGCAAAUCCGGAAAAUCAAGGCUGAGGCGUGAUGACGAGGCACUACGGUGCUGAAGCAACAAAUGCCCUGCUUCCAGGAAAAGCCUCUAAGCAUCAGGUAACAUCAAAUCGUACCCCAAACCGACACAGGUGGUCAGGUAGAGAAUACCAAGGCGCUUGAGAGAACUCGGGUGAAGGAACUAGGCAAAAUGGUGCCGUAACUUCGGGAGAAGGCACGCUGAUAUGUAGGUGAAGCGACUUGCUCGUGGAGCUGAAAUCAGUCGAAGAUACCAGCUGGCUGCAACUGUUUAUUAAAAACACAGCACUGUGCAAACACGAAAGUGGACGUAUACGGUGUGACGCCUGCCCGGUGCCGGAAGGUUAAUUGAUGGGGUCAGCGCAAGCGAAGCUCUUGAUCGAAGCCCCGGUAAACGGCGGCCGUAACUAUAACGGUCCUAAGGUAGCGAAAUUCCUUGUCGGGUAAGUUCCGACCUGCACGAAUGGCGUAAUGAUGGCCAGGCUGUCUCCACCCGAGACUCAGUGAAAUUGAACUCGCUGUGAAGAUGCAGUGUACCCGCGGCAAGACGGAAAGACCCCGUGAACCUUUACUAUAGCUUGACACUGAACAUUGAGCCUUGAUGUGUAGGAUAGGUGGGAGGCUUUGAAGUGUGGACGCCAGUCUGCAUGGAGCCGGCCUUGAAAUACCACCCUUUAAUGUUUGAUGUUCUAACGUUGACCCGUGAUCCGGGUUGCGGACAGUGUCUGGUGGGUAGUUUGACUGGGGCGGUCUCCUCCUAAAGAGUAACGGAGGAGCACGAAGGUUGGCUAAUCCUGGUCGGACAUCAGGAGGUUAGUGCAAUGGCAUAAGCCAGCUUGACUGCGAGCGUGACGGCGCGAGCAGGUGCGAAAGCAGGUCAUAGUGAUCCGGUGGUUCUGAAUGGAAGGGCCAUCGCUCAACGGAUAAAAGGUACUCCGGGGAUAACAGGCUGAUACCGCCCAAGAGUUCAUAUCGACGGCGGUGUUUGGCACCUCGAUGUCGGCUCAUCACAUCCUGGGGCUGAAGUAGGUCCCAAGGGUAUGGCUGUUCGCCAUUUAAAGUGGUACGCGAGCUGGGUUUAGAACGUCGUGAGACAGUUCGGUCCCUAUCUGCCGUGGGCGCUGGAGAACUGAGGGGGGCUGCUCCUAGUACGAGAGGACCGGAGUGGACGCAUCACUGGUGU